rnacentral:ncRNA from 2 species
CGUCCAUCCAGAGCGGCCGAGAGACCGGGCUCGUCGACGUCGCAGCAACCACGCGCCACCGCGCGGGGUGCUAACGCCCGGAACGAUGGGAG